rnacentral:rRNA from 1 species
AUAGCCUUUCGAAAGAAAGAUUAAUACCCGAUAGUAUAAUGAUUCCGCAUGGUUUCAUUAUUAAAGGAUUCCGGUAAAGGAUGGGGAUGCGUUCCAUUAGGUUGUUGGUGAGGUAACGGCUCACCAAGCCUUCGAUGGAUAGGGGUUCUGAGAGGAAGGUCCCCCACAUUGGAACUGAGACACGGUCCAAACUCCUACGGGAGGCAGCAGUGAGGAAUAUUGGUCAAUGGGCGCUAGCCUGAACUAGCCAAGUAGCGUGAAGGAUGAAGGCUCUAUGGGUCGUAAACUUCUUUUAUAUAAGAAUAAAGUGCAGUAUGUAUACUGUUUUGUAUGUAUUAUAUGAAUAAGGAUCGGCUAACUCCGUGCCAGCAGCCGCGGUAAUACGGAGGAUCCGAGCGUUAUCCGGAUUUAUUGGGUUUAAAGGGAGCGUAGGUGGACUGGUAAGUCAGUUGUGAAAGUUUGCGGCUCAACCGUAAAAUUGCAGUUGAUACUGUCAGUCUUGAGUACAGUAGAGGUGGGCGGAAUUCGUGGUGUAGCGGUGAAAUGCUUAGAUAUCACGAAGAACUCCGAUUGCGAAGGCAGCUCACUGGACUGCAACUGACACUGAUGCUCGAAAGUGUGGGUAUCAAACAGGAUUAGAUACCCUGGUAGUCCACACAGUAAACGAUGAAUACUCGCUGUUUGCGAUAUACAGUAAGCGGCCAAGCGAAAGCAUUAAGUAUUCCACCUGGGGAGUACGCCGGCAACGGUGAAACUCAAAGGAAUUGACGGGGGCCCGCACAAGCGGAGGAACAUGUGGUUUAAUUCGAUGAUACGCGAGGAACCUUACCCGGGCUUAAAUUGCAGUGGAAUGAUGUGGAAACAUGUCAGUGAGCAAUCACCGCUGUGAAGGUGCUGCAUGGUUGUCGUCAGCUCGUGCCGUGAGGUGUCGGCUUAAGUGCCAUAACGAGCGCAACCCUUAUCUUUAGUUACUAACAGGUCAUGCUGAGGACUCUAGAGAGACUGCCGUCGUAAGAUGUGAGGAAGGUGGGGAUGACGUCAAAUCAGCACGGCCCUUACGUCCGGGGCUACACACGUGUUACAAUGGGGGGUACAGAAGGCAGCUAGCGGGUGACCGUAUGCUAAUCCCAAAAGCCUCUCUCAGUUCGGAUCGAAGUCUGCAACCCGACUUCGUGAUGCUGGAUUCGCUAGUAAUCGCGCAUCAGCCACGGCGCGGUGAAUACGUUCCCGGGCCUUGUACACACCGCCC